rnacentral:rRNA from 1 species
UGGGGAAUAUUGCACAAUGGGCGCAAGCCUGAUGCAGCCAUGCCGCGUGUAUGAAGAAGGCCUUCGGGUUGUAAAGUACUUUCAGCGGGGAGGAAGGUGUUGCGGUUAAUAACCGCAGCAAUUGACGUUACCCGCAGAAGAAGCACCGGCUAACUCCGUGCCAGCAGCCGCGGUAAUACGGAGGGUGCAAGCGUUAAUCGGAAUUACUGGGCGUAAAGCGCACGCAGGCGGUCUGUCAAGUCGGAUGUGAAAUCCCCGGGCUCAACCUGGGAACUGCAUUCGAAACUGGCAGGCUAGAGUCUUGUAGAGGGGGGUAGAAUUCCAGGUGUAGCGGUGAAAUGCGUAGAGAUCUGGAGGAAUACCGGUGGCGAAGGCGGCCCCCUGGACAAAGACUGACGCUCAGGUGCGAAAGCGUGGGGAGCAAACA